UUCCCCCGCCCAAAACCAAAAGUUACGACUUUGUCUCUUCGCCACCCCCUAACUCGGCUCUGCUUUCUCCCUCUUCCUAUUUCCCUUCCGCCGCACUUUACGCCCUGUCCAUAUAUGCUUCCUUCCUAUCCUCCUAACUGUUCUCCUAUGCUUCCAUUCACCAUGAACCUCUCUCUUGACUACACCCUGCACUGUCCUACUAAUAUGUUUCGCACUAUCGAUGGCAAAUCUAUUUCUCAUGCUUUCCAUUAGCCCUGGGCUUAACUUCGCUUUUGAUUGUGGCGCCAUUGGCUCCAUUUGCAUUCAGGAAGCUAACCCAAUGUAAGUUUCGAAGCAAUAAGAAGUAAGCUGAGCUGAAGGUGAUGCAAAUGGAGGGUUAUAAUUCAUUUUAAAAAGCCAAAAAAUGCAAGUUAUUUUUCGAGAUCAGUUACAAAUACAUGGCGGUACAUAUUUGAAAGGUAAAGUCACUUCCAAAUGGAUCACCUUUCAAGACUCUCAAUUGUAAAGUGUGAUUUGCCUUAACUAAACCAUUUUACUGGUUCUAAUUCAAAAUUCUAUACUUCUAUUAUUACAAUUGGUAGAGGCAUUGAGUAACAGUUUUGUGUUCUUUUGCAACUUGUUGUACUUAUGACUAAUUCUAAAUCACGUAUGUAAGUCACUAAACAAUACCACUCUGUCCUUUUUUCUUUA